AAUAUUGAUGUUGUUUCUCUGACAAAUACAGGAAGCGCAACUUACACCCUUAAUACUCUUGCAUCAGUUACUGAUAUUUGUGUUGUUGAUAUCACCGAACAGCCAAAAGAGAACGGUCCUUGCGAUGCUAAUAAUGGAAACUGUGAGCACAUUUGUAUUCCACUUGGUAGAUACAGAAUAUGUCAAUGUAGCUAUGGUUUCAUUCUUGAUAGCAACAAGGAAACGUGUUCAUCAGAACAACUGUCGGACAAUUUUAUGUAUGUUUCGGAUUGGACCCAUGAUAAAGUAUAUCAAGUUUCUCUAAUAAAUGACGCUGUAAACGCCCUUGAUAGUUCGACCGUCGAUGCCCCUACUGGAGUACUUUAUAAUUCAAUAACGAACAGAAUCUAUUGGGGUGAUACCACAUCGAAUUAUAUUCAGUCUGCAAAUGUCAACGGUGCGGGAUAUUCCGUGUUAAUUGAUGUUGGGGCGUAUCGUGCACACCCCGACCGGCUGGCUAUUGACUACAGUACGGGAAACAUUUACUACACUGCUGUGAACACGAGUCAGUUGCCAGCAAGUUUCACCGGAAUCGGAAUUGUGUCUCCUAAUGGUCAUCAUAGAAAAUUG